AGAAACGAAGGAACCACCACAUUCAAAAGGUGAAUUGCUGUUCUUGUUAUUCCUCAUACCGGGAAUAACAGUGCUACUGUUAGUGUUGUUUUAUGCACGUAAAAAGAUGAGUAAGUUUUUCCUGUGAAAUUACCUUUUAUUUUGUUUUCAGUUUAUAAAAUCAACAAUGGUAAAGAACAAUUGCACAUUUUGCUACUUGUUACUAGUACAAAAAAAAUACAAAACCUUACGAUUCAUAUUCAUAUUUUAAAAUACAGUGCUGUGAGUGCAAAUUAUAAAAAGUUGUAUUCUGAUUGAUAAGACAUGUUCAUAUCUGGCUAUUUACAAAUAUGCUCCACGAGAUCAUUGUUUGGGAUUAGUGGUAGUACUACGCUUUGUUGUGUAAAUUAUUAAAAACGUGUAUAGAUUUCAACUGUUUACUAUUUUUACUGAAGACGUUAUGUAUACAAAGACGUAAUAAACAUGUGACGUUACAAUUACAACAAGUAAAUAGUUAUCAAAGGUACCAGGAUUUUAAUUGAGUGCCCCGACGCGCGUUUCGUCUACAUAAGACUCAUCAGUGACGCUUAUAUCAAAAUAUUUAUUAAGCCAAACAAGUAAAAAGAUGAAUAGCAUUGAGGAUACAAAAUUCCGAAAAUGGGACCAAAUACGGCUAAGGUUAUCUAUGCCUGGGAUAAGAAAAUCCUUAGUUUUUCGAAAAAUGCAAAGUUUUGUAAACAGGAAAUUUGUAAAAAUGACCACACUAUUGCUAUUCAUGUCAACACCGACUGAAGUGUUGACUACUGGGCUGGUGAUACCCUUGGGGACGAAACGUUCACCAGCAGUGGCAUCGACCCAGUGGUGUAAAUAGUUAUCAAAGGUACCAGGAUUUUAAUUUAGUACGCCGACGCGCGUUUCGUCUACAUAAGACUCAUCAGUGACGUUCAUAUCAAAAUAUUUAUUAAGCCAAACAAGUAAAAAAUUGAUGAGCAUUGAAGAUAUAAAAUUCCAGAAAGUUGUGCCAAAUACGGCAGUAAGUGGCUCUGUAUUGCGGUUAAUUCGUAACAAUCAUAGCUUAAUAGCCAUACAUUUUAAAAGUUGUAAAAUGUAUUUUUAAAAUUUCAUAGAAAACAGUUAUCAAUUAUCAUGUUCAAGUGCUUAAUGACAAGUAAUUUUCUUGAACGAUGUUCGAUUGGGUUAAAAAAUGGUUCUUUUGUACCAAACCAAAGCUCACCAAAAGGAUACAUUACCUCUUAUCAUGUUAUUUUAUUUUAACCCAAUAUUAAAACAAUGUUACACUAAAAUAUACUGGUAAUUAUGUUUUGCUGAUCGGACACGCCCUAAUAACUAUAACAACAGAUUUAAAGCACUAGCAAAUCAGUAUUCAUUUUGACGCAUUUAUCCAUUAAUUUAAUUUUAAAAUCGUUUUCAAAAAUAAUAGAUAUAUAAUGUUAAUAAAACAAUCAUAUAAAAUACACUAUUAAAAUACUUUAUAAAACAUUAUCGGUUAACUUCUGAAACAGAAAUAAAUAUAUAUCUAAAUUAAAUUUUAAAGAUAUGAAAAAUGCGUAACUUAUAAAACUUAGACAAAGACGAAAAAAUACAUAGAUACUUUUUUUUUCCAUUUGUUCAACAAGCUAUUAAACCGACGCCCCGAUAUGCCAAUAUUAUGCAGAUAUAUAACAGUAUACUCAUUUCAGGUGUAGUUAGUUUGAGAGAAGAUGAGCAUAACAAAGAAAAUGAUCCAUGCUUUCAAAUAGUACCUACUAAUGAAACUGCGCACGUAAAUAUUAGCCUCCUUAACAAUUCAAACCAAGAACAAACAUGCUCUUGAUUUACGAAUAAGAUGUAUCAACUGAUAAUAUAUUGUUAUAAAUGUGAAUUGAUUUGCAAGUCAGCUAACUGAAAGACUUGGUUGUUGUGAUGUUCAUUUUUGUUAUGUUAUUGUUAUUGUAUGAUUUACAAAUAUGAG
rnacentral:lncRNA from 1 species